UUGCAUCUCAACUCAAACUCAUCUCUUUCUCCCCCCAUUGUUGCUUAAUCAGUUGAUACGUUUUUCACUCUGCAAUGGCUUCAGUUUAUGAUAAAAUUGCAAGCCUCAAUCCGAUUAGAGAUAAUUGAAAUAUUCUUGUGAGGGUUAUAAGGCUGUGGACCAUUCGUGUUGGAGGACAAACAACUAAGAUCGAUAUGAUUAUCAUGGAUGAUAAGAGAUAGCAUACUAUGUGAGCAAUGAUGAAUCUUACAAGGAGUGAUACAAGUUGGUUACCUCUAACCAUGUGUCAUUACUUGCUUCUGGUUAAGUUAUGUAGGACACCUGCAGAACAAGAAGGAAUGAAUCAACAAAUCAUAACAAAAAAUUAUGUGAAGAUAUAAAGGGAUAGUGUUGUACGUAGUUGAAGUUUAGAGGUUGUGACCGCCAUUGUAUGUUACUAAUGUAAUGUGUUGAUUCAUAUUAAAAAAUUUGUUUGGUGAUUGUGGUAGAUAAAUGUUAUAACAGUAGACCUAUAGUUCCCUCUUUGUCCAAUUAUGUAAGGGAUGUUUUACAAUGUAUGGGAUUGACGAGGUUACCCUAAUAAAUGAAAACAGAGGUUUAUAUGCCCCUGCUAUAUGCUUUCUAUCCUUUUGGUUA